rnacentral:rRNA from 1 species
UACGUAGGGGGCAAGCGUUGUCCGGAUUUAUUGGGCGUAAAGCGCGUGUAGGCGGCCAGGUAGGUCCGUUGUGAAAACUCGAGGCUCAACCUCGAGACGCCGAUGGAAACCAUCUGACUAGAGUCCGGAAGAGGAGAGUGGAAUUCCUGGUGUAGCGGUGAAAUGCGCAGAUAUCAGGAAGAACACCCGUGGCUAAGGCGGCUCUCUAGUACGGUACUGACGCUGAGACGCGAAAGCGUGGGGAGCGAACAGG